UGGAGCAGUCUGGUAGCUCGUCGGGCUCAUAACCCGAAGGUCGUUGGUUCAAAUCCGACUCCCGCAUCCA
rnacentral:tRNA from 1 species